rnacentral:rRNA from 1 species
AAGAAAGAUGGCCUCUUCUUGAAAGCUGUCACAUAAAGAUGGUCCCGCCUCUCAUUAGCUUGUUGGUGGGGUAAAGGCCUACCAAGGCAACGAUGGGUAGCCGGCCUGAGAGGGUGUCCGGCCACACUGGGACUGAGAUACGGCCCAGACUCCUACGGGAGGCAGCAGUCGAGAAGCUUCGGCAAUGGGCGAAAGCCUGACCGAGCGACGCCGCGUGAAGGAUGAAGGCCCUAGUGGUUGAAACUUCUGUCAGGACUUAGGAAACCGUACGGGUGAAUAGUCCGUGCGCUGACCACCUCCAGAGGAAGCACCGGCUAACUCCGUGCCAGCAGCCGCGGUAAUACGGAGGGUGCAAGCGUUGUUCGGAUUCACUGGGUAUAAAGGGUGCGCAGGCGGUUUGGUAAGUUAGGUGUGAAAGCCCUCGGCUCAACCGAGGAAUUGCACUUAAUACUGCCAGACUUGAGAAUGAAAGAGGCAAGUGGAAUUCCAGGUGUAGCGGUGGAAUGCGUAGAUAUCUGGGAGAACGCCAAUGGCGAAGGCAGCUUGCUGGGUCAUUUCUGACGCUCAUGCACGAGAGCUAGGGGAGCAAACGGGAUUAGAUGCCCCGGUAGUCCUAGCAGUAAACGAUGUGCACUAGGUUUCGGGACCCCUGAUGGUUUCGGAGCCGUAGCGAAAGCGUUAAGUGCCCCGCCUGGGGAGUAUGGUCGCAAGGCUAAAACUCAAAGGAAUUGACGGGUCCUCACACAAGCGGUGGAGCAUGUUGUUCAAUUCGAAGCAACGCGAAGAACCUUACCAGGGCUUGACAUGCUGGAAGUAGAAUCCCGAAAGGGUGCCCACCGGUAUCCAAUCCGGAACCAGCACAGGUGCUGCAUGGCUGUCGUCAGCUCGUGUCGUGAGACGUUAGGUUAAGUCCUGUAACGAGCGAAACCCCUGUCGUCUGUUGCUACCAGGUUAUGCUGGGCACUCUGGCGAGACUGCCGGUGUUAAACCGGAGGAAGGCGGGGACGACGUCAAGUCAUCAUGGUCCUUACGUCCUGGGCUACAAACGUGCUACAAUGGCUGGUACAGAGAGACGCGAUACCGCGAGGUGGAGCAAAUCUUCAAAACCAGCCCCAGUUCGGAUUGGAGGCUGCAAUUCGCCUCCAUGAAGUUGGAAUCGCUAGUAAUCGCGGAUCAGCAACGCCGCGGUGAAUAUGUUCCUGAGCCUUGUACACACCGCCCGUCAAGCCACCCAAAUUGGUCGCACCCGUAGUC